AUGAAACAACAAUGGCGGCCCCCAUGGAUGUGGUGUUUAUGCAAACUGUUUAUUAAAGAAGGUAUUGUUCUAAUGUAAUUUAUCCACAAAUGUUCUGCAUAAUCAGCAGCUGCUCUAGCGUUAGCUUCUUUUCAGUUAAU